rnacentral:rRNA from 1 species
GACGAACGCUGGCGGCGUGCUUAACACAUGCAAGUCGAACGGAAAGGCCCCUUUUGGGGUCCUCGAGUGGCGCACGGGUGAGUAACACGUGAGUAACCUGCCCUUGACUUCGGGAUAACUUCAGGAAACUGGGGCCAAUACCGGCUAGGAAUCCUUGCUGCAUGGUGGGGGUUGGAAAGCUUCGGCGGUUUUGGAUGGACUCGCGGCUUAUCAGCUUGUUGGUGGGGUAGUGGCUUACCAAGGCUUUGACGGGUAGCCGGCCUGAGAGGGCGACCGGCCAUAUUGGGACUGAGAUGCGGCCGAGACGCCUACGGGAGGCAGCAGUGGGGAAGAUUGCACAAGGGGCGGAGGCCGGAUGCAGCAAGGCCGCGUGCGGGAUGACGGCCUUCGGGUUGUAAACCGCUUUCAGCAGGGGCGAAGCUUGUGGUGACGGUACCUGCAGAAGAAGCACCGGCUAACUACGUG